UGCAGAAUCCCGUGAACCAUCGAGUCUUUGAACGCAAGUUGCGCCCGAGGCCAUUCGGCCGAGGGCACGCCUGCCUGGGCGUCACGC
rnacentral:rRNA from 1 species